GACGGAGGGCGCAAGCGUUGUUCGGAAUUACUGGGCGUAAAGGGCGGGCAGGUGGUCUGUUAAGACGUUUGUGAAAAUCCGGGGCUCAACCCCGCGAAAUGCAGACGAUACUGGCAGACUAGAGAUCGGUAGAGGCUAGCGGAAUUCCUGGUGUAGCGGUGGAAUGCGUAGAUAUCAGGAAGAACGCCUGUGGCGAAGGCGGCUAGCUGGGCCGAGUCUGACACUCAUCCGCGAAAGCGUGGGGAGCAAACAGG
rnacentral:misc_RNA from 1 species